rnacentral:rRNA from 1 species
AUUGAACGCUGGCGGCAGGCCUAACACAUGCAAGUCGAGCGGAGCGGCGGACGGGUGAGUAAUGCCUAGGAAUCUGCCUGGUAGAGGGGGCUAAGGUCCGGAAACGGGAGCUAAUAUCGCAUACUAUCAGAUGAGCCUAGGUCGGAUUAGCUAGUUGGUGAGGUAAAGGCGUACCAAGGCGACGAUCCGUAACUGGUCUGAGAGGAUGAUCAGCCACCCUGGAACUGAGACACGGUCCAGACUCCUACGGGAGGCAGCAGUGGGGAAUAUUGGCCAAUGGGCGAAAGCCUGAUCCAGCCAUGCCGCGUGUGUGAAGAAGGUCUUCGGAUUGUAAAGCACUGUUAGUUGGGAGGCGUUACCAACAGAAUAAGCACCGGCUAACUUCGUGCCAGCAGCCGCGGUAAUAC